AGCAAAUUCUUUUGACAUCCAACAACACUGGAAUCUGGUGAAGUGUUGUGGGGUCUUAUGAAGAAUCAUAUAAGUGGUGUCUACUCCCUGGGACUUUGAAUACUUUUUUAAAACCUGCCCAGCAUUGGUUGGUGGGACACUUGCCUCUUGUCUGUUGAAUGGUACUCCUUGACAGUGACAUCCAGCAGCAGCUGCUAAAGGUCCCCAUCCAAUGUUGUGAUUCCUACUUUGUUAACCCAGCCUCAGGAACCAGGGAAAUUACUUUGCUAAAGGACUUUCCCAAUCACUCCUUGGAUACUUUGUCAAAUUCUUUGUAGAUCACUGUCCCAAAGUUUUCACCUCCUUCUGUGUUUGUUUGGGAAUCUUUUUUGCCAGCCGGUUCUUUUUUUUGAUUUUUAACAUCUAUAAAUGGCUCCCUUUUGUUCACCACACAUCAUGUAUUUUUCUUGUAAAAGAUACUCUCAACUGGAGUCAUUAAAAUAAAGCAUGAACACUGUGCAGGGUGUAAAUGCA